rnacentral:rRNA from 1 species
GCAAGUCGAACGAGACCUCACCUUCGGUUGAACGUCUAGUGGCGCACGGGUGCGUAACACGUGGGAAUCUACCUUGGGGUACGGAAUAACUCAGAGAAAUUUGUGCUAAUACCGUAUAAUGACUUCGGUCCAAAGAUUUAUCGCCCUUAGAUAAGCCCGCGCAAGAUUAGCUAGUUGGUGAGGUAAAAGCUCACCAAGGCGACGAUCUUUAGCUGGUCUGAGAGGAUGAUC